rnacentral:rRNA from 1 species
GACGAACGCUGGCGGCGUGCUUAACACAUGCAAGUCGAACGGAAAGGCCCUGCUUUUGUGGGGUGCUCGAGUGGCGAACGGGUGAGUAACACGUGAGUAACCUGCCCUUGACUUUGGGAUAACUUCAGGAAACUGGGGCUAAUACCGGAUAGGAGCUCCUGCUGCAUGGUGGGGGUUGGAAAGUUUCGGCGGUUGGGGAUGGACUCGCGGCUUAUCAGGUUGUUGGUGGGGUAGUGGCUUACCAAGGCUUUGACGGGUAGCCGGCCUGAGAGGGUGACCGGACACAUUGGGACUGAGAUACGGCCCAGCCUCCUACGGGAGGCAGCAGUGGGGAAUAUUGCACAAUGGGCGGAAGCCUGAUCCAGCAACGCCGCGUGCGGGAUGACGGCAUUCGGGUUGUAAACCGCUUUCGCCUGUGACGAAGCGUGAGUGACGGUAAUGGGUAAAGAAGCACCGGCUAACUACGUG